rnacentral:rRNA from 1 species
UACGUAGGUGGCAAGCGUUGUCCGGAUUUACUGGGCGUACAGAGCGCGCAGGCGGUCGUUCAAGUCGCGUGUGAAAGCCCCCGGCUCAACUGGGGAGGGUCACGCGAUACUGAUCGACUCGAAGGCAGGAGAGGGUAGUGGAAUUCCCGGUGUAGUGGUGAAAUGCGUAGAUAUCGGGAGGAACACCAGUGGCGAAGGCGACUACCUGGCCUGUUUCUUGACGCUGAGGCGCGAAAGCUAGGGGAGCAAACGGG